rnacentral:lncRNA from 1 species
AACUAAAUUGUUAGCAGUUGUCUUUGGCCCCUUGCAUCAUCGGUAUUCUAUGUGAGUAUACUAUUGUGGCUCAUCUUCGAUGGGGUAGUUGAAUCAUCAUGUUUGAGUGUCGAAUGGUAGAGAACUGGUAGAGAAGGACUGCUCGUUAGAGAGAGAGCCAAGAACGAGAGCAAGAGCUCAUGGUGCAUGGAACAGAGAUAGGGUCAACUCGGGCC